GAUGUAAAGACGACCGUGGUUUACCCUGCCACAGAGAAACACCUGCAGAAGUACCUGCGCCAGGACCUCCGCCUGAUCCGAGAGACAGGAGAUGACUACAGGAACAUUACUUUACCCCACCUGGAGUCCCAGAGCCUCAGCAUCCAGCUCGAUGACCUAUACUUGAUCGCCAUCUGCCAUCGCCGGGGCAUCAGAUCCCUACGCGACCUUACCCCGGAGCACCUGCCGCUGCUCAGGAACAUCCUCCACCAGGGGCAGGAGGCCAUCCUGCAGCGCUACCGGGUGAAGGGAGACCAUCUGCGCAUCUACCUGCACUACCUGCCCUCCUAUUACCACCUGCACGUGCACUUCACCGCCCUGGGCUUCGAGGCCCCCGGCUCGGGCGUGGAGCGGGCCCACCUGCUGGCUGAGGUGAUCGAGAACCUGGAGUGUGACCCCAGGCACUACCAGCAGCGCACGCUCACCUUCGCCCUCAGGGCUGACGACCCCCUGCUCAAGCUCUUGCAGGAGGCUCAGCAAAGCUGAAUUAACUCAGGCAGAAGAGCACAGAUGUGUAGGAUUGGGGGAGGAGUGGGGACAAGAUUUUUUAUCUCCAAGUGAAUUUUCUAAAAAUGUAUUUUGUACCGGCUUAUUCCUAGUAGUGAAUAAACUAGCGGGCUCA
rnacentral:sRNA from 1 species